rnacentral:rRNA from 1 species
CAGUAGCCGCGGGAAUACAGAGGUCUCAAGCGUUGUUCGGAUUCAUUGGGCGUAAAGGGUGCGUAGGUGGCGGUGUAAGUCUAACGUGAAAUCUCGGGGCUCAACCUCGAAAUUGCGUCGGAUACUGCAUUGCUAGAGGAUUGUAGAGGAGAGUGGAAUUCAUGGUGUAGCAGUGAAAUGCGUAGAUAUCAUGAGGAAGACCAGUUGCGAAGGCGACUCUCUGGGCAAUUCCUGACACUGAGGCACGAAGGCUAGGGGAGCAAACGGGAUUAGAUACCCCCGUAGUCCCUGUCUCUUAUAC